rnacentral:rRNA from 1 species
GGAAUUUUGGACAAUGGGCGCAAGCCUGAUCCAGCAAUGCCGCGUGCAGGAAGAAGGCCUUCGGGUUGUAAACUGCUUUUGUACGGAACGAAACGGUCCUGGUUAAUACCUGUGGCUAAUGACGGUACCGUAAGAAUAAGCACCGGCUAACUACGUGCCAGCAGCCGCGGUAAUACGUAGGGUGCAAUCGUUAAUCGGAAUUACUGGGCGUAAAGCGUGCGCAGGCGGUUUUGUAAGACAGGCGUGAAAUCCCCGGGCUUAACCUGGGAAUUGCGCUUGUGACUGCAAGGCUGGAGUGCGGCAGAGGGGGAUGGAAUUCCGCGUGUAGCAGUGAAAUGCGUAGAUAUGCGGAGGAACACCGAUGGCGAAGGCAAUCCCCUGGGCCUGCACUGACGCUCAUGCACGAAAGCGUGGGGAGCAAACA